CAGUCGAGCGAACGGAUAAGGAGCUUGCUCCUUUGAAGUUAGCGGCGGACGGGUGAGUAACACGUGGGUAACCUACCUAUAAGACUGGGAUAACUUCGGGAAACCGGAGCUAAUACCGGAUAACAUUUAGAACCGCAUGGUUCUAAAGUGAAAGAUGGUUUUGCUAUCACUUAUAGAUGGACCCGCGCCGUAUUAGCUAGUUGGUAAGGUAACGGCUUACCAAGGCGACGAUACGUAGCCGACCUGAGAGGGUGAUCGGCCACACUGGAACUGAGACACGGUCCAGACUCCUACGGGAGGCAGCAGUAGGGAAUCUUCCGCAAUGGGCGAAAGCCUGACGGAGCAACGCCGCGUGAGUGAUGAAGGGUUUCGGCUCGUAAAACUCUGUUAUUAGGGAAGAACAAAUGUGUAAGUAACUGUGCACAUCUUGACGGUACCUAAUCAGAAAGCCACGGCUAACUACGUGCCAGCAGCCGCGGUAAUACGUAGGUGGCAAGCGUUAUCCGGAAUUAUUGGGCGUAAAGCGCGCGUAGGCGGUUUCUUAAGUCUGAUGUGAAAGCCCACGGCUCAACCGUGGAGGGUCAUUGGAAACUGGGAAACUUGAGUGCAGAAGAGGAAAGUGGAAUUCCAUGUGUAGCGGUGAAAUGCGCAGAGAUAUGGAGGAACACCAGUGGCGAAAGCGACUUUCUGGUCUGUAACUGACGCUGAUGUGCGAAAGCGUGGGGAUCAAACAGAUUAGAUACGCCUGGUAGUCCACGCGUAACGAUGA
rnacentral:rRNA from 1 species